AACGAACGCUGGCGGCAUGCCUAACACAUGCAAGUCGAACGAGACCUUCGGGUCUAGUGGCGCACGGGUGCGUAACGCGUGGGAACCUGCCCUUAGGUUCGGAAUAACUCCCCGAAAGGGGUGCUAAUACCGGAUAAUGUCUUCGGACCAAAGAUUUAUCGCCUUUGGAUGGGCCCGCGUUGGAUUAGCUAGUUGGUAGGGUAAAAGCCUACCAAGGCGACGAUCCAUAGCUGGUCUGAGAGGAUGAUCAGCCACACUGGGACUGAGACACGGCCCAGACUCCUACGGGAAGCAGCAGUGGGGAAUAGUGGACAAUGGGCGAAAGCCUGAUCCAGCAAUGCCGCGUGAGUGAUGAAGGCCUUAGGGUUGUAAAGCUCUUUUACCCGGGAUGAUAAUGACAGUACCGGGAGAAUAAGCGCCGGCUAACUCCGUG
rnacentral:rRNA from 1 species